rnacentral:rRNA from 1 species
CCCUUUGGGGUGUGACUGCGUACCUUUUGUAUAAUGGGUCAGCGACUUAUAUUCUGUAGCAAGGUUAACCGUAUAGGGGAGCCGGAGGGAAACCGAGUCUUAAUUGGGCGUUAAGUUGCAGGGUAUAGACCCGAAACCCGGUGAUCUAGCCAUGGGCAGGUUGAAGGUUGGGUAACACUAACUGGAGGACCGAACCGACUAAUGUUGAAAAAUUAGCGGAUGACCUGUGGCUGGGGGUGAAAGGCCAAUCAAACCGGGAGAUAGCUGGUUCUCCCCGAAAGCUAUUUAGGUAGCGCCUCGUGAAUUCAUCUCCGGGGGUAGAGCACUGUUUCGGCUAGGGGGCCAUCCCGGCUUACCAACCCGAUGCAAACUGCGAAUACCGGAGAAUGUUAUCACGGGAGACACACGGCGGGUGCUAACGUCCGUCGUGAAGAGGGAAACAACCCAGACCGCCAGCUAAGGUCCCAAAGUCAUGGUUAAGUGGGAAACGAUGUGGGAAGGCCCAGACAGCCAGGAUGUUGGCUUAGAAGCAGCCAUCAUUUAAAGAAAGCGUAAUAGCUCACUGGUCGAGUCGGCCUGCGCGGAAGAUGUAACGGGGCUAAACCAUGCACCGAAGCUGCGGCAGCGACACUCAGGUGUCGUUGGGUAGGGGAGCGUUCUGUAAGCCUGCGAAGGUGGCCUGUGAGGGUUGCUGGAGGUAUCAGAAGUGCGAAUGCUGACAUAAGUAACGAUAAAGCGGGUGAAAAGCCCGCUCGCCGGAAGACCAAGGGUUCCUGUCCAACGUUAAUCGGGGCAGGGUGAGUCGACCCCUAAGGCGAGGCCGAAAGGCGUAGUCGAUGGGAAACGGGUUAAUAUUCCCGUACUUGGUGUUACUGCGAAGGGGGGACGGAGAAGGCUAUGUUGGCCGGGCGACGGUUGUCCCGGUUUAAGCGUGUAGGUGUGUGUUCCAGGUAAAUCCGGUUCACUUUAACAC